rnacentral:lncRNA from 1 species
CGCAUCAUUAAUUUAAAAAAAAAAGUUGAUUAAAAACACUAAUUUUAAAUUUAGAAAAUUUAAACUUAAAAAAUAAAAAUAACGUAUAUUACUAAUGUAUCACAAUAUGCAUAAAACGGAACAAAUCUUUCAGCACUUUUAAAUUUAAUUCCUUACCCCAUGGAUUAAAUUAAAAUAAGAUAAGAUAAAACACUAUGCUUUCUCUUUUUUUUACCCGUUCCGUCCCUUUAUAAACCAUUGUUUGCUUCCCAAAUUCCCAUCAUUAACAAAGUAUCUGAUCUUCUUUAUAUUUUCUCUGGACUCAUAUAUAUAUAUAUAGUGAUCACAAGGCUCUUAUUCUUUCCUAUCAAUCUAUCGUUACACCAAUGGCCAUGCGAAAGAUUUAUGCAUCUCUCCCUGCUGUAGCUGCCGGAGUUGGAUGGCACGGAUUCCAUGCGCCGUGCGUGUUUGGCUAAUCAGUAUGCCUAACAUUUAAUUUUAGCUGACUGGUACGCUAGGUAAAGAGAGC